rnacentral:rRNA from 1 species
GAAUCUUCCGCAAUGGACGCAAGUCUGACGGAGCGACGCCGCGUGAGUGAUGAAGGUCUUCGGAUCGUAAAGCUCUGUUGUUAGGGAAGAACAAGUAACGUUCAAAUAGGGCGUUACCCUGACGGUACCUAACCAGACAGCCCCGGCUAUCUACGUGCCCACAGACGCGGUAAUACGUAGGGGGCAAGCGUUGUCCGGAAUUAUUGGGCGUAAAGGGCGCGCAGGCGGUUAUUUAAGUCUGAUGUGAAAUCUUGUGGCUUAACCACAAGCGGUCAUUGGAAACUGAAUAACUUGAGUGCAGAAGAGGAGAGUGGAAUUCCACGUGUAGCGGUGAAAUGCGUAGAGAUGUGGAGGAACACCAGUGGCGAAGGCGGCUCUCUGGUCUGCAACUGACGCUGAGGCGCGAAAGCGUGGGUAGCGAAC